rnacentral:rRNA from 1 species
GAUGAACGCUGGCGGCGUGCUUAACACAUGCAAGUCGAACGAGAAGUGAAGACGGAAACCUUCGGGCGGAAGGCUUUAUUUCGAGUGGCGGACGGGUGAGUAACGCGUGGGUAACCUGCCUCGUACAGGGGGAUAACAGUUGGAAACGACUGUUAAUACCGCAUAAGACCACAGCACCGCAUGGUGCGGGGGUAAAAACUCCGGUGGUAUGAGAUGGACCCGCGUUCGAUUAGCCAGUUGGCGGGGUAACGGCCCACCAAAGCGACGAUCGAUAGCCGAUCUGAGAGGAUGACCGGCCACAUUGGGACUGAGACACGGCCCAAACUCCUACGGGAGGCAGCAGUGGGGAAUAUUGCACAAUGGGGGAAACCCUGAUGCAGCGACGCCGCGUGAGUGAAGAAGUAUUUCGGUAUGUAAAGCUCUAUCAGCAGGGAAGAAAAUGACGGUACCUGAGUAAGAAGCCCCGGCUAACUACGUG